rnacentral:tRNA from 1 species
GCCCGGAUGACGGAAUUGGCAGACGUGGCGGACUUAAAAUCCGCUGCCCUUCGGGGCGUGCAGGUUCAAAUCCUGCUCCGGGCA